rnacentral:rRNA from 1 species
GCGGUAAUACAGAGGGUGCGAGCGUUAAUCGGAAUUACUGGGCGUAAAGCGUGCGUAGUCGGCUUCUUAAGUCAGGGGUGAAACCCCGGGGCUCAACCCCGGGCCUGCCUCUGAAACUGGGAGACUUGAGUACCCUAGAGGACAGUGGAAUUGCCGGUGUAGCAGUGAAAUGCGUAGAGAUCGGCAGGAACACCAGUGGCGAAGGCGACUGUCUGGGGGGAAACUGACGCUGAGGCGCGAAAGCUGGGGGAGCAA